rnacentral:SRP_RNA from 1 species
GCCAGUUGCCCUGGUGGCACCUGUUGUCCCAGCUUCCCAGGAGGCUGAGGCGGGAGGAUCUCUUGAGCCCAGGAGUUCCUGGCUGUAGUGUAGUGUGCGACGUUAAUCAGGUGUCUGCACUAAGUUUGGCAUCAGUAUGGUGACCUCUUGGGAGCUUGAAGAGGAGCCAGCUGGCCCAGGUCAGAAAUGGAGCAGGAGCAGGUCAAAACUCCUGUGCUGAUCUGUAUAGCAUCGUGCCAGUGAAUAGCCACGGCACUCCAGCCUGGGCAACAUAGCAAGACCCUGUCUCU